CAGCCGCCGCGGUAAUACCGGCGGCCCGAGUGGCGGUCACUAUUAUUGGGCUUAAAGCGUCCGUAGCCGGGUUGGGAAGUCCUCCGGGAAAUCUGGCCGCUUAACGGUCAGAAUGCCGGAGGAUACUCCCAGCCUAGGGAGCGGGAGAGGCCGAGGGGAUUCCCGGAGGGGGGGUGAAAUCCUAUAAUCCCGGGAGGACCACCUGUGGCGAAGGCGCUCGGCUGGAACGCGUCCGACGGUGAGGGACGAAGGCCAGGGGAGCAAACCGGAUUAGAUACCCGGGUAGUCCUGGCUGUAAACGAUGCGGACUUUGUGUCGGACAAGCUAUGAGCUUGUCCGGUGCCGGAGGGAAACCGUUAAGUCCGCCGCCUGGGGAGUACGGCCGCAAGGCUGAAACUUAAAGGAAUUGGCGGG
rnacentral:rRNA from 1 species